rnacentral:rRNA from 1 species
UAAUUCUAGAGCUAAUACAUGCUGGAGUGCCCGACUCACGAAGGGCCGUAUUUAUUAGAUAUCAGCCAAUAAGCAUCUGCUAUUGUGGUGACUCAUAGUAACUUAAUCGGAUCGCAUGGGCUUGCCCCGCGACAAACCAUUCAAGUUUCUGCCCCAUCAUGCUUUCGAUGGUAGUGUAUUGGACUACCAUGGCUUUCACGGGUAACGGAGGAUUAGGGUUCGAUUCCGGAGAGGGAGCCUGAGAAACGGCUACCACAUCUAAGGAUGGCAGCAGAGGCGUAAAUUACCCAAUCCUGACUCAGGGAGGUAGUGACAAGAAAUAACGAACCGUGACAUUGUUACGGGAUU